rnacentral:misc_RNA from 1 species
GUCGAAGGUGGGGCUGAUGACUGGGGUGAAGUCGUAACAAGGUAUCCGUACCGGAAGGUGCGGAUGGAUCACCUCCUAACAGGGAGACAACACAAUGAUUUUGAUGCCUGAGUGCUUUUAUUCUUAGGCCGAAAUCCUGUCACCUUAGGUCGAUCGGUAUCUCAGCUUUGAAGUCAUGGAUCAGCAGCAAUGUUGAUUGCUUGAUGGAGAUUUUCAGUUCCUAAACUUUGUCUAGGUCACACCCCAAAAGGGAUGAGACUCCUGGGCCAUUAGCUCAGGUGGUUAGAGCGCACCCCUGAUAAGGGUGAGGUCCCUGGUUCAAGUCCAGGAUGGCCCAUUCGGUGUUGGGGGUUUAGCUCAGUUGGUAGAGCGCCUGCUUUGCAAGCAGGAUGUCAGGAGUUCGAGUCUCCUAACCUCCACUGACCGAACUUGAUUCCCAUCUCCAAUUUUUUGGAGUUGAGCUCGAUUGGAGUGUGAUUUAGAUGUGUCCGCUGGAUGACCCCAGCUUCCUGUCAUUCCAAGUUUUAGAUUUUAAGUCUUGAAUUUGGUUGAUAAGAUGCUGGGCUCGGAUCAAAUGAUCAAGCAAUUGAUGAUUUGAUUUGAAGUUCUAGCAGAACCUUGACAACUGCAUAGGUGAGUCUGGAAAAAACAAAGCAUCUUACAGAUGCAUUGUUUUGAAUCUGAUCUUCUGAAAGGAAGAUUGGAUCUAGAACAAUGAAAAUUCUUUUGAGCAAGAGCCGAGACUCUUGAGCGUUCUUUGAUUGGUGUCGAGCCAAUCAGAGUUUGAUCUUGUUUUUAGCAAUAAAAACUUGAGAAUCUGCUUUCAACGGUGGUAAGCGUUCAGGAGGUUAAUUGGUCAAGCUACAAAGGGCUCACGGCG